rnacentral:rRNA from 1 species
UAACCUGCCCAAGAGAUCGGGAUAACACCUGGAAACAGAUGCUAAUACCGGAUAACAACAGAUGAUGCCUAUCAACUGUUUAAAAGAUGGUUCUGCUAUCACUCUUGGAUGGACCUGCGGUGCAUUAGCUAGUUGGUAGGGUAACGGCCUACCAAGGCGAUGAUGCAUAGCCGAGUUGAGAGACUGAUCCGGCCACAGUUGGGACUGAGACACGGCCCAAACUCCUACGGGAGGCAGCAGCG